UACGGGGGGGGCAAGCGUUGUUCGGAAUUACUGGGCGUAAAGGGCUCGUAGGUUGCCAACUAAGUCAGACGUGAAAUUCCUCGGCUUAACCGGGGAACUGCGUCUGAUACUGGAUGGCUUGAGUUCGGGAGAGGGAUGCGGAAUUCCAGGUGUAGCGGUGAAAUGCGUAGAUAUCUGGAGGAACACCGGUGGCGAAGGCGGCAUCCUGGACCGACACUGACACUGAGGAGCGAAAGCCAGGGGAGCAAACGGG
rnacentral:rRNA from 1 species